rnacentral:rRNA from 1 species
CCUACGGGAGGCAGCAGUGGGGAAUAUUGGACAAUGGGGGGAACCCUGAUCCAGCCAUGCCGCGUGUGUGAAGAAGGCCCUCGGGUUGUAAAGCACUUUCAGUGAGGAAGAACGCCUGGUGGUUAAUACCCAUCAGGAAAGACAUCACUCACAGAAGAAGCACCGGCUAACUCCGUGCCAGCAGCCGCGGUAAUACGGAGGGUGCGAGCGUUAAUCGGAAUUACUGGGCGUAAAGCGCGCGUAGGUGGCUUGAUAAGCCGGUUGUGAAAGCCCCGGGCUCAACCUGGGAACGGCAUCCGGAACUGUCAAGCUAGAGUGCAGGAGAGGAAGGUAGAAUUCCCGGUGUAGCGGUGAAAUGCGUAGAGAUCGGGAGGAAUACCAGUGGCGAAGGCGGCCUUCUGGACUGACACUGACACUGAGGUGCGAAAGCGUGGGUAGCAAACAGGAUUAGAUAUCCUUGUAGUC